rnacentral:rRNA from 1 species
GACGAACGCUGGCGGCGUGCUUAACACAUGCAAGUCGAACGAUGAAGCCGCUUCGGUGGUGGAUUAGUGGCGAACGGGUGAGUAACACGUGGGCAAUCUGCCCUGCACUCUGGGACAAGCCCUGGAAACGGGGUCUAAUACCGGAUAUGACCACUGACCGCAUGGUCUGGUGGUGGAAAGCUCCGGCGGUGCAGGAUGAGCCCGCGGCCUAUCAGCUUGUUGGUGAGGUGAUGGCCUACCCAGGCGACGACGGGUAGCCGGCCUGAGAGGGCGACCGGCCACACUGGGACUGAGACACGGCCCAGACGCCUACGGGAGGGAGCAGUGGGGAAUAUUGCACAAUGGGCGAAAGCCUGAUGCAGCGACGCCGCGUGAGGGAUGACGGCCUUCGGGUUGUAAACCUCUUUCAGCAGGGAAGAAGCUUUCGGGUGACGGUACCUGCAGAAGAAGCACCGGCUAACUACGUGCCAGCAGCCGCCGUAAGAC